AUAGCUAGGUGUGCUUCUGAAAUAUGCUAUUCUUAACUACUUACAGGUGUGUUGGAAUAACAUCAAAUCAUGGCUAUGAAUAUUGAACUCCCAAAGAGCUGUACCUAUUGAGUCAUACUCAAAGUGGUCCUUGCUAAUUUUUGUGCAUAAUUUAAUUUUGAGGUCCUGGGAAGAUAGUAAGAAAGCAAAGAAAAAUUACUUCAGUGCACCUGAUCUCUGCAAUGUUGCUGUAAAGGCAUUUUUACAUUUUAUCUUGAGGAACAGUAGCAUAGUGAGAUAAAGUUGCUCUGCUAAAGUUACAGAGUUAGUGGCAAGAAUUUAGGCUUCUGGUUUUCAUUGAGUUCUAUCACUUCUAGUGCAUCAUUGUUCAGUAGAACUUCUGUGAUGAUGGUGAUGGUAAGUAUUGGUGCUAGCCAGUAUAUGGCUACUAGCCACAUGAGGCUUAAUAGCACUGAAAACUUAAUUUUAAAGAUUACUUAAUUUCGGUAAUAGUCUUAGUAGACACCUGAAACUCCCCUAGCCUUCCAGUGGUUAAGACUCCAUGCUUCCAAUGCAGGGGGUGGUGGUUGUAUCCCUGAUCGGGAACUAAAAUCCCACAUGCCAUAUGGCAAAAAAAAAAAAUUUAGCCACUUGUUGCUGGUAGCUACCAUUUUGGACAGCAUAGCCCUUCAGUCUAAAUCUAGUGGGUUUUUAUGCAUUACUUUGACGUCAGAGGAUCUCACAUUGAUUCAGUGCUUACUGUGUUCCAGAAACUUUACAGAUGUUGCCUUAAUUAAUCUUCUUAGCAUCUCUGUGAAUCUUUCAUUCCUCUAUUACAGAGGAAAUGUUUUACAGGUGAUAUAUAUCUCAGGGAAGGUAUAAUAUGACCAAGAACACAGAAUUAAUAUUUGACCGGUGAGAAUUCAACUCUGAUCUUCUGAGUCCAAAACUAGUGCCUUUUUGUUUAAAUCUGUCGGAGCCUAAAUUCAGUACAGUUUUGCUGCUGAUGGUGAUGGAUAAUUGGAAAGAAUGUUGGAGGCAAAGAUAUUUAGCAAGCUGAAUACUUGAAUGUUUUGCCCUUUAGUGUACCCCCUGCCCUGGGAAGGAAAAUUUAAAAGCUGAAAGAUUGUCCUCUGCAGUUGGACAAGUUGUAUAGACUAUAAUGGGAAUGGCACGUUUCCAUACCCACAUAGUAAAGUCUAAGAUAGGGGCCACUUUCUGGGACUUAAUUCCAAGUGCUUUCUUGUUAAUACACUGCCUUCUCUAAUACACAGAAUGAUGACAAAGCAAGACAACAGGCAGAGGGAUAGGAGAGAUAAAAGCUGAGACAGUGUUACCAUAGCAGUAGGAGAAAAUUUAGUUAAAUGUAUCAUUAUUCUUCUGGACGAUUUAGAUCCAUAACUCUUGUCU
ensembl:lncRNA